rnacentral:rRNA from 1 species
CCCUUAGAUGUUCUGGGCCGCACGCGCGCUACACUGUUCGACGCAGCGAGUCUUAACCUUGACCGAAAGGUUUGGGUAAUCUUCAGCAAAGUCGAACGUGAUGGGGAUCGAUCAUUGCAAUUAUUGAUCGUGAACAAGGAAUUCCUAGUAAGUGCAAGUCAUCAGCUUGCGCUGAUUACGUCCCUGCCCUUUGUACACACCGCCCGUCGCUACUACCGAUUGAAUGGUUUAGUGAGAUCUCUGGAUUGACGCUGGCUAGGGGGCGACCCUUGGCCAGACUGUUGAGAAACUGCUCAAACUUGAUCAUUUAGAGGAAGUAAAAGUCGUAACA